GAAAGUGAUUUGCUAGCUUGGGUAUCAAGGCUGGAUUUGGGGCAAAAUAUGUCUAAACCCUGCCACUAAAGACAAGCUUCUGUAGCAACUCCUAGACUUAAAGGACCACAAUAACCAAAUAGUCCUUAAGGACUCUGUUUCACGUAUCUCUUGAGCACUAGUUAUCUCUGCAGCUAUAGAAGGCUACUUCUUUUCUGUGGGAGAAUAUAAUACAGAGUGCAAGGUUUGUGUUAGCCAUCAGAACUAAAGUGCAGACAGUACAGGUACUUUGGUCGAAUGUCUGGGUCCUGAGCACCAGGUGCUGUAGGAAAUGAUUUCCUUUGUAAAGCACAUUAAAAAUAACAAUAAUAAUAAUAUGUUCCUGAGUUGAUUACUUCUGUGUAUUUGAAAGUGAAACAAGCAGAAAGAGAUUUCUAGCUGAAGCCAGUAUCUUACAGGCACAAUUUGUAACUUGAUAAGGCACCCAGGAAAAUGACAAAGGGCAUGAAAAGCUACUGGCUAUGUUUUUUGUGAUACUUUUAAGCAGGCAGAUGCAAAGCAGCACCAAUUCUCACCCACCCACAUCUCAUCUCUCUCUCUCCCUCCCCACAGCUUAUUUUUAAAGCUUCAGAAGUUAUUAGUGGGUUAUCUCAGCUUUCUCUUUCCACCUGCACUCCUCUAUACCAUGAUGAAAAGAUUUGGCAAGUGAGACAUGGCAAGGACUGGGACAAUAUGCUGAGGGAUAUUCAUCAUGAAAAUAAUCCAGUCGACCAUUUGCUAUCAGCUAUAACCAGACAGCUCUGUUGGUGCGAGUGGCCCAAGAGUAACCUCUGCUGCCAUUGGACAGAGCUGCCCAAAGAAUUAGUUUUGCAUCUGAGCAUGGUGGAAAAUGAUGGAUGGAUCCAGCUAAUAUAAGGCAAAUUACCUAGUGAAGAAAAACACAACAAAAAGCCCUGACUGUUGUCAAAACACCUUUUCUACUCUUGCCUCCUGGAAAAGAUUUAUACUUCCAGCCCUGAUUUUUGAAGACUGUAUAAACAAGGCCAGUCUUAUGAAGUUUGUCCUCCUUCAGCCUCCCCUCCAUAUAACAAUUUACUCCAUCCAAUUUCUCUCCUAAAUACAUCUGUGUUCCUCAAACACCAUCAAAAUCAGCCUAAUUCUUCCCCUCCACUAGCACAGCGCUAGCAUAGCUUUCCCAAAUUUCAUUUCCCAUCCAGAGCUGGGACUACACAUGUUCAUUAUCUGAAAAUUUCCCUAAACAUCUGACCAAAGAUUCCAGCUACCAAGCAAAUCAGGGCUUUCUGCUGCUAUUCUUCUAAUCUCGUGCAUUUAUUUAUGCCAAAUCCCUAUUUGUCCAACCCAUCUCUCACUCACACAGGCAAUGGCAGUCUUCUAUAGCCAGGAAGCCUGGUCUGCCUGGGAACCACACCUGGGGUGACUGUUCAUUCAGCUGUCUCAUAGCAAUUCAGUGUUAAACUAAGGAGAAGAGAGAUGUGGACACAGUGAUAGUUAGCUCAAACUGGUAAGUCACUGUCAGCCUCUAUUUCAAAAGAUUACGAUAAAAUGAUAAUGGGAGACAAUCAGAGAGGACAGCAAGAUGGAUGAGGGCAACGAGGAAAGGAAUGAGAAAAGAUGGAAGAAGGGAAGCAGCAGAAUUUAAAAUGGGGGGAAAUGUUGCAAAAGGUACAAUCUGAUCAUCAUCAAGAUAUGCACCUACACACCAAGCACUAAGUAGAACGUAGUCUAUGGCACCAGGUGAGAUCUACUAGAAGGUAAAACUUCCAGAAUAUGUACAGUGGACAACAGUAUUUUAAUACUGUUUUGCUCCACGUGUUCUCUUCUAUUGCACUGCUCUACUUGUUAAUGUAGACCUUAAUGACUAUAGUAAUGCCAUAGUGUUAAGUCACUGAUAAAAAAACUGAGAAUCCCAUUAUGCAGGUUCUUUGAUUAAGCCAUAGAGCAUUCAGUAGAUAUCCUGCUAUUAAUACAUGAUGUUAUAAUCUGUGGACAGGAUGUAAUCAUAUCCAAAUUUAUACAGAACACCAUAUUGCCUUUGAGUAAGAAAAGUUAAUUUAUACUACACCAGCCUUUUGGUUAUGCAUGUGUGUGCAUCCAAUUGCUCCAGGCUCCGAGUAAAUGAUAUGGUCUAGACUUCAGGUAGUUCAUUAGAUCAAUACUCUAUCUCAUUACAUGGAUGGAAUUCACAGUGUCCUCCAAAACCCAAUUUCAUUUCUUUCACCUCUCAAAUUAAACACUACCUUAAAGGUUUAGUUGAUAGAUGACUCUGUUUUACGUGAUGAUGUUCUUCAAGGCACAUGUGGCAGUAUAUCUUAUCCUAUUAGUAAAGAUCAUUAGCUACAGCAUAAUUGCCUCUCUAUGACACAUAAUAGUUUCAUCUAUUUUUAUCGUUCCUGUCCUGUAAUUCAAUUUCAUGAUUAUGGUUUAACAAAUCAAGGGGUACGGCAAACAAUAUAUUUUAGCCAUCAUUUAAAGUAAAGUCAAGUUCCUGACAAGAUACAUAGGGUGGUGCUACAAGAUAUGUUUCCAUUUGACUAGUUUUGGUUAACAGAAAAGUAUGACUUACCCAUUCUCUCCCAUUUCUUAACAUAGAAAAAUACUGAAUCAGAAUAAAACAUUGCUAGAUUACA
ensembl:lncRNA